UAAUGGCUCCUUCACCAUCUUCCUGGCCUCAAAUUAUCCCCCCAAAAUACAGAAUUGUUGAUGAAUCGCGCUCCAAAAGAAACCGAUGUUCGUUUACAAUAUCACAACGGAAUGUAUUACAAUGUAUAACCGUCAUGCCUCAAAACUGGGAGAAAGAAGCAAGUCAUUCACCCGCCAUUUGUUCCUCAAGACCGUAACACAACGACACGCGGAUAAUUGCCGGUGGUGGCUGGUCCACUCCAGGAGUCUGAGGUGCGGGAGGUUCCUCCGCCCCUUUGGACAUCGAGGGGGCCCCGGCGUAUGCAGUUCGAGCCAUACUGGACUCGAGGAGUCUAGCGAGGGGCCUUCAGUACCUCGUGGAGUGGGAGGGGUACGGUCCGGAGGAGAGAUGCUGGGUGCCGGUGGAGGACGUAUUGGACCUGUCGAUACUGCAGGAGUUCCCCUGUCUCCAUCCGGGUCACCCUACGCCUCAUCCUCCGGGUCGUCCCCGAGGCCGGUGUCGGCGCGCGGCUCAAGGAGGGUUACUGUCAGUAAGGGUCACUGGGUUACUGUCGGUAACCCAGUGACCCUCACUGGGUUACUGUCGGUCCCUCUCCUUGUUUGGGUGGCGCUCGACGUCACUGGUAUUCUAGCCAUCGCCGAACCACUUUUCAUUUUCCAUUUGUUUUGUCUUUGUUUUUUUAACACCUGGUUUCAAUUCCCCCAUUACAGAUGCAGUAUUUAACCCUCUGUUUCACACAUGUAUGUGUGCAUGUUUGUUCUAUGUUGAAGACUGUAUCUGACGGCUGGUAUUUUGUUGCCGGGAUUUGUAUCUACGCCCGUUUAUUCGUGGUACCGGUAUAUUUCACAGAACGUUGUAUUGUUUCUAUACCCAUGUUUUUUUGUGUAUUAAAUACCUUGCCCACGCA